UACGAAGGGGACUAGCGUUGUUCGGAAUUACUGGGCGUAAAGCGCACGUAGGCGGAUUUGUUAGUCAGGGGUGAAAUCCCGGGGCUCAACCUCGGAACUGCCUUUGAUACUGGAGAGCUUGAGUCCGGGAGAGGUGAGUGGAACUCCGAGUGUAGAGGUGAAAUUCGUAGAUAUUCGGAAGAACACCAGUGGCGAAGGCGGCUCACUGGCCCGGUACUGACGCUGAUGUGCGAAAGCGUGGGGAGCAAACAGG
rnacentral:rRNA from 1 species